UUCUAGGGAAAAAACUUGGAGACAGCAACAGCAGCAGGUGUGUGGGAUUCUGGUUGUCCACACAUUCUUGAGCAGACCCAAAGUCUAGCCAAGCCAGGCUUCCAGCUUUGGAAACGAGACUCCCUCCGGUCAUGGGGGCUCUUGAGCAGCACAAUUACAAAAGCAGCCAUCCGUUGCCUGGCCUGAGGAGGGCGGAAUGUGAGAGCAGUAUGGUGUGGAGGAACCUGGGCUCCAGCCUUUCUCUACCAGCAAGAGAGUGCACCUGUGGCGAGGGAGCGUACCAGCCCCAACCUUGGUUACACAAGGCAAAAAGAGGAGUUUAGACCAGAGGGCAUAGAGCCUACCUGUGAGACUCUGUAAACUGGUGGAGAGACGUUACGGGUUUUGAGCAGGGACCACCGGAAUCACUUCUGUCUUACAGAGUUUCACUUCUUUGCAUUAAAGUGGUUUUUUUUCCUUACAUUGUA